rnacentral:lncRNA from 1 species
UUUAGCGUCCUGCCUGUACAUUCCGAAGUUCUGUGAAAAGAGGCACUAGUGCUCAGCCACGCAAGGCAGGAAAAGAGAGGAAGUUUUUGCAUUCUGAUUACAGCCUGAGUUCCCUUUAGCAAGGCUGCGUCUCUCCACCCACUCCUCACCAAGAACUCCUGAACUUGAGGGUGGACGACUUAAAAGCUAGCUCCCACAGACUCACCUGAAAAGACUUCAGCUGCGCGUUCAUUGAACUGAGAGGCCGGAUCACCUAUGUGAGGCGGUGGGAACCCUAUGGAGAUUUCUAUUAGAACUUCAGCAAAGUGCACUGCUGCAGCCGGCAGAAGCCAGCUCUCAGGCUGACAGGCAAAUGAUCCAGAUCCGUGAUCGGGGGCCUCUGGGUGGCAGCUCCGGCCUUUUGGUUGUUGGACAACUAUAGUCAGAACUGAAAUGGAACAGGGGCAGGAGAAAUAACACACUUUUACUCUACGCAACUGUUGCUUUCACAUGAUCUUCAGGAAUGUUACUGGGAUAACUGUUCAAAUCAAAUCCCAUGCUCCUAUCAUGGUGAGUGGACCCAUUUAAAAUGCCAUUUGUAUGUGUGUGUGUGUAAUUUUUUUCAUUGGUAAUCACAGUUUUCUGGUGAUUGGUGUAGGAGAUUCA